UAGCCUUGUCGCGUUCGAGGUUCUUCGUGGGUAUGCCCAUGAAGCUAAGAGGGAACAAGGUUGAUGCCUUGGCUGCCCCCGCAACUGUGAACGGUCCAAAGCCCUUCGAUACACCACUGCCGUAUGGCGGGAAGGUGAAGGGUCGCGCAAGGCGCAGACCGUGAGCCAGGAGACCUGCCUCGUCACGCUUUCGACA
rnacentral:ncRNA from 2 species